rnacentral:tRNA from 2 species
UCUAAUAUGGCAGAUUAGUGCAAUGGAUUUAAGCUCCAUAUAUAAAGUAUAUUACUUUUAUUAGAA